rnacentral:rRNA from 1 species
AGGACGAACGCUGGCGGCGUGCUUAACACAUGCAAGUCGAGCGGAAAGGCCCUUCGGGGUACUCGAGCGGCGAACGGGUGAGUAACACGUGAGCAACCUGCCCUUGGCUCUGGGAUAGCCUCCGGAAACGGGGAUUAAUACCGGACAUUCACUUUCUCCUGCAUGGGGGGUUGGUGGAAAGUUUUUCGGCCAGGGAGGGGCUCGCGGCCUAUCAGCUUGUUGGCGGGGUAACGGCCCACCAAGGCGACGACGGGUAGCCGGCCUGAGAGGGCGAUCGGCCACACUGGGACUGAGACACGGCCCAGACUCCUACGGGAGGCAGCAGUGGGGAAUAUUGCACAAUGGGCGCAAGCCUGAUGCAGCGACGCCGCGUGGGGGAUGAAGGCCUUCGGGUUGUAAACCCCUUUCACCAGGAGCGAAUUCAGACGGUACCUGGGGAAGAAGCGCCGGCUAACUACGCGCCAGCAGCCGC